rnacentral:rRNA from 1 species
UACAGAGGUCUCAAGCGUUGUUCGGAUUCACUGGGCGUAAAGGGCGCGUAGGUGGUGGCUUAAGCGUGCGGUGAAAGCUCGGGGCUCAACCCCGAGUCGGCCGUGCGAACUGGGCUCACUGGAGCAUAGUAGAGGCAGGUGGAAUUCCGGGUGUAGCGGUGGAAUGCGUAGAGAUCCGGAAGAACACCGGUGGCGAAGGCGGCCUGCUGGGCUAUGGCUGACACUGAGGCGCGACAGCGUGGGGAGCAAACAGG